rnacentral:rRNA from 1 species
UUUCGGGAGGGCAAGUCUGGUGCCAGCAGCCGCGGUUAUUCCAGCUCCAAUAGCGUAUAUUAAAGUUGUUGCAGUUAAAAAGCUCGUAGUUGAAUUUCGGGGUCAGUAGGUUGGUCGUGCCACUGGUAUGCACUGGUCUCACUGAUUCCUCCUUCUUGUAGAACCGUAAUGCCAUUAAGUUGGUGUUGCGGGGAAACAGGACUGUUACUUUGAAAAAAUUAGAGUGUUUAAAGCAAGCUAACGCUUGAAUACAUUAGCAUGGAAUAAUGAAAUAGGACGAACGAUCCUAUUUUGUUGGUUUCUAGGAUUGACGUAAUGAUUAAUAGGGAUAGUUGGGGGCAUUAGUAUUCAAUUGUCAGAGGUGAGAUUCUUGGAUUUAUUGAAGACUAACUACUGCGAAAGCAUUUGCCAAGGAUGUUUUCAUUAAUCAAGAACGAAAGUUAGGGGAUCGAAGACGAUCAGAUACCGUCGUAGUCUUAACCAUAAACUAUGCCGACUAGGGAUCGGAUGAUGUU